rnacentral:lncRNA from 1 species
CCUGAAGCUAUUAGUUCAAAUGUAGCAUCUUUUUAAAGUUGUCCAUCUGUAAUUCUCAGCCUUUCCCGAUUAAAAGAGGGAACGCGGAUGGAGUGUGGUUAUAUUUGGGGGAACUGUUCAGAACUGUGCAGAAUCCCACAGAGGGAAAGGGUAAUCUGAAACGGCCCUCCUCACCUGCUGAGCGGUGCUUAUCUUAGAAUUAGGAAGUUCCCAUGCUUCUGUUGCUCCUCACAUCGUUUACAUUUAUUUCCUGGGCACAGAACCAUCUGGACUUUCCCUUCCUCAUUUAAAGUUUGCUAAUAUAGAGUGAGUCAGAAGCGUCUAACAAUCCUCUGUCUUUGUUUCCGUAUUUGUCUCUACUCUGUGUACCUUGAGAGCUGCUCCAUCUUAGGAUGUUUGUAACUUAUCGUCAAUGACAGAAAUAUGUUUUAAAGUGUGGUCCAUGAGAUAAUGGCUGUCGGCUGCUGUAAAGAUGCUUCUGUCAUUGGAAAGACUAAUUAACAUACUGUAGGAAAACUUCUUGAAACACAGCUAUUUUCUGAAAAAAGGAGAACACUGAGGGGGAGGAAAUAAAGGAGGGAACAUUUUAUAAAACCUUCUAAAAGCCCAGCAUGGUUAUCCUGCUGGAAUAAUGUAAUUAAGGGACAUUGAGUUGGAUAAAUACCUUUUUUUUUUUUUUUUAACUAGCUCUGUGAAAAGGAAUUGGAUUAAAUAGCAUAGUUUUUGAAACCCUAAUUCUGACAAUCUACGUGUACAUUUUAAUGAAU